GGCACUGUGGCUCAGAGAGGUAGAGUGUUAGUUUUAAGCACAAAAACUCAGGGACAGUGCCA
rfam:Dipodomys ordii contig_64932, whole genome shotgun sequence.